rnacentral:rRNA from 1 species
CGCACGGGUGCGUAACGCGUAUGCAACUUGCCUCACAGAGGGGGAUAACCCGUCGAAAGACGGACUAAUACCGCGUACACUUGGAGGGAGGCAUCUCCCAUCAAGGAAAAGAAAUUCGCUGUGAGAUAGGCAUGCGUCCCAUUAGCUAGUUGGUGAGGUAACGGCUCACCAAGGCAACGAUGGGUAGGGGAACUGAGAGGUUGAACCCCCACACUGGUACUGAGACACGGACCAGACUCC